GACGUAGGGCGCGAGCGUUGUCCGGAUUUAUUGGGCGUAAAGAGCUCGUAGGCGGCUUGUCGCGUCGUCCGUGAAAACCCACAGCUCAACUGUGGGCUUGCGGUCGAUACGGGCAGGCUAGAGUUCGGUAGGGGAGACUGGAAUUCCUGGUGUAGCGGUGAAAUGCGCAGAUAUCGGGAGGAACACCGGUGGCGAAGGCGGUUCUCUGGGCCUGUACUGACGCUGAGGAGCGAAAGCGUGGGGAGCGAACAGG
rnacentral:rRNA from 1 species